CCCCGUCCCCGUCCCUCCCCCAUCCAUUGUCUCCUGCUCUCCCCCUCUGGUGGAGUGCCUGGUCGCUGGCGGACGGCACCAUCUGAGGCAGCUGCUAAGCGCCACGUCCGGUCGGCGUUGUGGCGCCGGGUCGUCUACUUCUAUCCCGUGGUGGAUCGUCGCGACCUGCGUGGCGCUGUCGGGUCCUCGGGCGGGGAUAGCCUAGCCAUCAGCCGCCGUUCUUGCACCGGAGUUCCUGCUCAGGUUCCAUAACUUCCGUGUGGUGUUUGUCUAUAAUAAAGGGGAAAAAAUAAAAACAUAUUGGAAGAUGAGAUCAGUAGUUCGGUCGCUGCGGCAGCUCCGCCGUUUCAUCUGGCGCCAUGCAGAGAGCCACCCAUCAACAACCAGAUUGAUCAGGCAGCAGAAUGCUUUGAUCAUGUUUGCAAGUCCAGGUGUGGAUCUAGUGAGGUCCAUGUUCUCCACUGCAGCGGCUGAUUCGAUCAGAGGUCAAUUUCUCAUUUCUCUUUAUAUGUGGUGCCUUCUAUGUUCUCUUUGGGGCCAUUUGAAUCAACUUAAUUACAUGCAUUAUUAAACAAUUGAUGGAUAUUGGAAGAGGUGGUCCGAUGGUGGAAUAUGAGAGGAGAAUAGCAUCAGGAGAGCUUGUAGAUGGCGAUAGCUUUCAGGUUGACACAAUUCAACAAUUAUAAAGGCUCUACGAGGAGUUGAUUGAGAAUGAAGAAGGCUGCCAGCUGGAUAGCUUGCUACUUGCUUGUGACACUGAACAACUAUGAACCACGCAUGGAUCACACACUGACAGAACUAGACUAGGCUAGUUUCUAGAAAGGUUGGGACGCGCAACCGUUCAUCAAGCCCCGUCAUACCUUCUCUGUGGUGGUAGUAGGACACUUGCUGAUACUUCUCACUCCCUAUUGCUUGCUGAUACUUGUUUGCAGUAUGUAUAUGCGUGUAUGAACUAAUGUGGUGAUACUUGUUUCUCGAUCAGGAACUAAUGUUUUGUGUUGAGUGCAUA